GGCGGAGGCUAACCAUGCAAGUCGAGCGCUCCCUUCGGGGAGAGCGGCGGACGGGUGAGUAACGCGUGGGAACGUGCCCAAAGGUACGGAAUAGCCCCGGGAAACUGGGAUUAAUACCGUAUAAGCCCUGUUCAGUUUUGAGAUGACGGAUGACGGAUGACAGGUUGUCCCGGUGCCGGAGAGGGAUCUCCGGCGGCUGGGGGAGCGCCUGUCAUCUGGUGAUCUGUCCUCUUUGAUCUGGACAGGGGAAAGAUUUAUCGCCUUUGGAUCGGCCCGCGUCUGAUUAGGUAGUUGGUGGGGUAACGGCCUACCAAGCCGACGAUCAGUAGCUGGUUUGAGAGGAUGAUCAGCCACACUGGGACUGAGACACGGCCCAGACUCCUACGGGAGCCAGCAGUGGGGAAUCUUG
rnacentral:rRNA from 1 species